rnacentral:rRNA from 1 species
UCCCUACGGGGGGCAGCAGUGGGGAAUAUUGCACAAUGGGGGAAACCCUGAUGCAGCGACGCCGCGUGAGUGAGGAAGUAUUUCGGUAUGUAAAGCUCUAUCAGCAGGGAAGAAAAUGACGGUACCUGACUAAGAAGCCCCGGCUAACUACGUGCCAGCAGCCGCGGUAAUACGUAGGGGGCAAGCGUUAUCCGGAUUUACUGGGUGUAAAGGGAGCGUAGACGGCGAAGAAAGUCUGAAGUGAAAGCCCGCGUCUCAACCGCGGAAUGGCUUUGGAAACUUUUUUG